rnacentral:lncRNA from 1 species
CUUUUCCUCUAUUUUCUAUUAUUUUCUUUGAUUUUCUCGACACUGAUCACUGCCAACAACUAUCAGUUGAGAAACCCUCGGCUAUAUCGUUGUAGCCACACCACGUGCCAUAGCCAUUGCCAAUGAGAGACUCCCUUAUUUUGGGGGGAAGGGGUAAUUAAGGAUUCUCCUAUUUGCCACAGAACCAAAGGAAGAAGAGACAAAAAAAGAAAGGAAAAUGAAAAAAGAAAGGGAGGAAAAGACAAAAAAGACUAAAGUG